rnacentral:lncRNA from 1 species
UGGGGCAACUGAGAACCAACAUGAUGUCUAGAAACCUCAUGGAUUCCCCAAGUUUCUGAAGGACAAAGCAGUACUAUUUCCAGCCAGAUGUAGCUCAUCAUCAAUUGGAAGCAAUUCCAGAAGAGGUGUUAUAGUCUCUGGUCCAAGAGAGAGUCGGAUCCAGGCAUCAAAAAGAGCCAUGAGAAAAAGGAAUGUUUGCUACCAAUAGUCGCCCAGCUAGCUGAUGAAAGAGGAGGAAGAGGAAGAGGAGGGGAAAAACAACAAUAAAACUACAAAAGUACCAAGAGGAGAAGAACA